CCCCUAGAUGUCCUGGGCCGCACGCGCAAUACAAUGUAAAGUUCAGAAAGCAUAUCCUGUUCCGGAAGGCAAUGGGUAAUCUUUUCAAUAUUUUACGUGUUAGGGAUCGAUCUUUGCAAUUAUAGAUCUUGAACGAGGAAUACCUAGUAAGUGCAGCUCAUCAGGCUGUACUGAUUACGUCCCUGCCCUUUGUACACACCGCCCGUCGCUCCUACCGAUUUCGAGUGGCCCGGUGAAUCUUUUGGAAUUAGAGUGCAAACUCAAACUAAGAUCGAUAAACCUUAUCACUUAGAGGAAGGAGAAGUCGUAACA
rnacentral:rRNA from 1 species